CUCCGGCUGAGUGGGCGCCUCAGGCCUAGAAGUCGAUGGAUUUCUGUCCCUGGUUCCCACCCUGCUGCCUACGACCCCUGGAUGCAGCCUGCAGAGCCCUGUGGGGACGAACAGAAUCUGAGAAUUGGAAACCACAGAAUUUAAAUAAGCUGCCCAAGAUCACACAGCUAGUAAGUGGUAAAGCUGUGAUUAUCAUCCAGGAGGAGGCCAUCCAGGCUGGAGCUGGAAUGAGCCAGAGUCCCAGAGAAAUAGGGAAAGAAAGCAAGAUAUGAUGGAGAACAAUGACCAGUGACUUGCUGCUAGAGCUGAUCGGCGAGAAGAUGUUCAAAGUCAAGAAGAUGCAGCCCAUAUUGUGGUACUAUAACCACUCACUCUGUCAGGAGGCAAAGGAUGAGAAUGUGGCCCAAUCCAGGGAAAUCAGCCAGUGGCAGAUGAUGGCCGUCAGAGGUCUGAGGAACUGGUCUUUGGGUUGUUUCUGGUCUACAUGACAAGCGUUCAGGGUGAGUGUCCUAGUCUGUUCUGGCGCUGUAACAAGAUACCACUGGGACUGGGAAUGAAUUUUCACAGUUCUGGAGGAUAGAUGUCCAAGAUCAGGUGCCAGCAUGGUUGAAUUCUGGUGAAGGCCCUCUUCUAGAUUAUAGACGGCUGACUUUGUGCUGUGCUUUCACAUGGCGGAAAGCGCAAGGGGUGUCCCUGGGGUCUCUUGACCUCA